rnacentral:rRNA from 1 species
UACGAAGGGAGCUAGCGUUGUUCGGAAUUACUGGGCGUAAAGGGUGCGUAGGCGGUUUGACAAGUCAGGUGUGAAAGCCCCGAGCUCAACUCGGGAACUGCGCUUGAGACUGUCAGGCUAGAAUUCGGAAGAGGUGAGUGGAAUUCCCAGUGUAGAGGUGAAAUUCGUAGAUAUUGGGAAGAACACCGGUGGCGAAGGCGGCUCACUGGUCCGACAUUGACGCUGAGGCACGAAAGCGUGGGGAGCAAAC